GACGAACCGUGUGAACGUUGUUCGGAAUCACUGGGCUUAAAGGGCGCGUAGGCGGGUUCGCAAGUCAGGGGUGAAAUCUUUCAGCUUAACUGGAAAACAGCCCCUGAUACUGCGAGUCUCGAGGGAGGUAGGGGCAUGUGGAACUUCCGGUGGAGCGGUGAAAUGCGUAGAUAUCGGAAGGAACGCCGGUGGCGAAAGCGACGUGCUGGACCUCUUCUGACGCUGAGGCGCGAAAGCUAGGGGAGCAAACGGG
rnacentral:rRNA from 1 species